rnacentral:rRNA from 1 species
UACGGGGGGGGCAAGCGUUGUUCGGAAUUACUGGGCGUAAAGGGCGCGUAGGCGGCCUUCUAAGUCGGACGUGAAAUCCCUCGGCUCAACCGAGGAACUGCGUCUGAUACUGGAAGGCUUGAAUCCGGGAGAGGGAUGUGGAAUUCCAGGUGUAGCGGUGAAAUGCGUAGAUAUCAUUUGGAACGCCAAUGGUGAAAACAGGUAGCUAGGGGUCUGCUGACGCUGAGACACGAAAGCCAGGGGAGCAAACGGGG